GCACGUUUUGCUUGGGUUGGGCUGGCGAUUACUCGAAACGUGAACCAAUCGUCCUCCUUUAGUGAGACAACCAACACGUCGUACUUCUCCUCGAAGCUUCGCUCUGGGUUUCCUGCAAACCUCAAAGUCGAAGUCGAAGGGAGCUCACUGUCUCUGUCUUACUCCGCCGCCACUCUAAAGGCAGCGCUUUUCCGGUUGUUAGCUGGAAAAUCUGAUGACAUUGGACCACCCGAUUAUUUUCUUAGAGGACAAACUAAGCCCUGUGAAAAGAAACAAACCGACUGCUUCCUGCCAGGACCACAUUAUGAUUAAGUUCUCCUAAAAAACAAACUAAGCCUGGUGGAAAGUAACUCAUCUACUGCUUCCUGCUACAACAGGGCGUUAUCCGGAAGAUCUAAUAACAUCAGACCACACAAUAGUUUCUCUUAAGAGCCAAAGUUCUAAGCCUGGUGGGAAUGCAAUAUCUGCUUUUGCCGCUUAACGAACAAAGGAAAAGAUCCAUUCCUUGUGAAUGACAUUUUAAGUUGGCUGUGCAAGAGAAUGACAACCUGGUGAAGUUGCCUUGAUGGGUUCAUGUUUGUCGUGGCACUCUCCAUGUCAACCAAAGGAAACAUCUUCAAAAUGUUACUAGAAUGUAGAACACCAGAGAAAGGUUACUACUAUUACCAUUUUUCAUCUUAAAUCUUCUCAUCCUUACUCAUAUUUAUUAAAUUUUUAGUCUUAAAUGGUUUCAUGUGUUAACCAUUUAAAUGAUAUACAUAUGUACGAUUGGUGAUGAUAAAAUCUAAUACGAAAAGAUGUGAAAUUACCACUUA